rnacentral:rRNA from 1 species
GACGAACGCUGGCGGCGUGCUUAACACAUGCAAGUCGAACGGAAAGGCCCCUUUGGGGGUACUCGAGUGGCGAACGGGUGAGUAACACGUGAGUAACCUGCCCUUGACUUCGGGAUAACUUCAGGAAACUGGGGCUAAUACCGGAUAGGAAUCCUUGCUGCAUGGUGGGGGUUGGAAAGCUUCGGCGGUUUUGGAUGGACUCACGGCUUAUCAGCUUGUUGGUGGGGUAGUGGCUUACCAAGGCUUUGACGGGUAGCCGGCCUGAGAGGGCGACCGGCCACAUUGGGACUGAGAUACGGCCCAGACGCCUACGGGAGGCAGCAGUGGGGAAUAUUGCACAAUGGGCGGAAGCCUGAUGCAGCAACGCCGCGUGCGGGAUGACGGCCUUCGGGUUGUAAACCGCUUUCAGCAGGGGCGAAGCUUGUGGUGACGGUACCUGCAGAAGAAGCACCGGCUAACUACGUG